rnacentral:rRNA from 1 species
UACGUAGGGUGCGAGCGUUGUCCGGAAUUAUUGGGCGUAAAGAGCUUGUAGGCGGUUUGUCGCGUCUGCUGUGAAAAUCCGGGGCUCAACCCCGGACUUGCAGUGGGUACGGGCAGACUAGAGUGUGGUAGGAGAGACUGGAAUUCCUGGUGUAGCGGUGGAAUGCGCAGAUAUCAGGAGGAACACCGAUGGCGAAGGCAGGUCUCUGGGCCACUACUGACGCUGAGAAGCGAAAGCAUGGGGAGCGAACAGG